rnacentral:rRNA from 1 species
GGGGUAAGCCUGGGAAACUGGGUCUAAUACCGGAUAGGACCAUGCCUUAGUGUGUGUGGUGGAAAGUUUUUCGGUGUAGGAUGAGCCCGCGGCCUAUCAGCUUGUUGGUGGGGUAAUGGCCCACCAAGGCGGCGACGGGUAGCCGGACUGAGAGGUUGGUCGGCCACAUUGGGACUGAGAUACGGCCCAG